rnacentral:rRNA from 1 species
UUAAAACAAAAAUUAACAGACAAAACAAACACCAAAUUUUAUACAACUGAAAAGGAUAAACUUGAUAAUUAUCAACCACUACCUUUAGUAUCAGGGGAACAGAAAAGAAAAUUUAAAAAAAUCAAUCCCGAAAUAAUUAAGAUCUAAAUACUUAAUGCACCCCUAUAACAUAAAAGUAACAAAUUUUAUUUAGAAGCGAUACACAAAACAAUUAAUAUAAUAACUGGUUUUUAACAACAAAAAACUUUACUUCAAAUUAAAUUUAUAAACUAAAUUUUCACUGUUUCACCAAGUAUAGAAGGCAAAAAAAAGAAUAAAAGUAUCUCACAAGUCCACAAACUAGACAACAAAAUAUUAAAUAAACCCUAAAAAUUAAACCCCCUCUUUUUAAAAAUAGAAAAUCUGCUCAUAAGUAAUUAUAAAUAAUUUAUAAACAUCAAACAUUAACACCAUAAACAAUAAAUCAUAAUUAAAGAAUUCAGCAAAAUCUUAUUCGACUGUUUACCAAAAACAUUUCUUUAAGUCAUAAUUUAAAGUAAAACCUGCUCAAUGAUUAAAUUAAAUAGCCGCAAUUUCUGUGCUAAGGUAGCAUAAUCAUUAGUUUCUUAAUUAGGGAAUAGAAUGAAUGGUUAAACGAAAUAAUGACUGUUUCUAAAAUGCAAAAUGAACUUAAAUUAAAAGUAAAAAUUCUUUUAAACUCAAGAAAGACGAUAAGACCCUAUAAACUCAUUAUUUAGCUGGGGCGGCUUAUUAAAAAAACCUUAAUCUUAAUAACAAUACACACCUGAUAAUUUAAUUAAUCCAACAAGAAAAGUUACUUUAGGGAUAACAGCGCUACUUUUUUUCAAAGCUCUAAUAGAAAAAAUUCCUACGACCUCGAUGUUGAAUUAUAAACCCUUUUAGCGCAAAAGCUAAAUAUGGAGGUCUGUUCGACCAUUAAAAAUAUACAUGAUUUGAGUUCAGACCGGUGAAAGCCAGGUCGGUUUCUAUCUUCUCACAAUAAAUGUUCAGUACGAAAGGACCAAUAUAAAUUUUA